rnacentral:sRNA from 1 species
CACAAUAAAAUAUGAAGGCCUGGCUUCGCGGCCGGCUGAAAUAUUUUUUCACCCAUGUCUUUUGCGCACUUGUUGUUUCCUGGGCGGGUUCGCCCGCCACCAGGACCAAACCAUAAACCUUUUUCUUAUGCAGUUUCCAUCAGCGUCAGUAAAAACAAUGUAAUAAUUACAACUUUCAACAACGGAUCUCUUGGUUCUGGCAUCGAUGAAGAACGCAGCGAAAUGCGAUACGUAGUGUGAAUUGCAGAAUUCAGUGAAUCAUCGAAUCUUUGAACGCACAUUGCGCCCUUUGGUAUUCCAAAGGGCAUGCCUGUUCGAGCGUCAUUUGUACCUUCAAGCUUUGCUUGGUGUUGGGCGUUUUUGUCUCCCUCUUUCUGGGAGACUCGCCUUAAAACGAUUGGCAGCCGGCCUACUGGUUUCGGAGCGCAGCACAUUUUUUGCGCUUUGUAUCAGGAGAAAAGGACGGUACUCCAUCAAGACUUUUACAAUUUUAACUUUUGACCUCGGAUCAGGUAGGGAUACCCGCUGAACUUAAGCAUAUCAAUAA